rnacentral:rRNA from 1 species
UACGUAGGGGGCAAGCGUUGUCCGGAUUUAUUGGGCGUAAAGAGCUCGUAGGUGGUUCGGUAAGUCGGAUGUGAAAUCUCCAGGCUCAACCUGGAGGGGUCAUUCGAUACUGCCGUGACUAGAGUUCGGUAGGGGAGUGUGGAAUUCCAGGUGUAGCGGUGAAAUGCGUAGAUAUCUGGGGGAACACCGGUGGCGAAGGCGGCAUCCUGGACCAUUACUGACACUGAAAAGCGAAAGCCAGGGGAGCAAACGGG